GAGAAAGGAUGACUCAUGGAUACUGAAAUCAUUGAAGACUUGAAUAAUCCAACUCUGAUCUCAUCUUAGUG